rnacentral:lncRNA from 1 species
AAGAACAAAGGAAGAAAAGAAAGAACAAGAACCCUAGGGUGAAAAUUUAAGAGAAAAUUGAUGGAUUUCAAGUAAUAAAACAAUCAAAGGUAAAAUUUCUUGAUUUUGGCUUAUGAUCUACCUUUCCCAUACAUUCUUUUGCAUUUUUCAUGGUUGAAUCACAUGAUUUCCUGAUGGGUAUCUUGCUGGCUGAACACAUAGAGAGAGGUUUUGAUGCUUGAUUUAGUUAGAUUUCAAUGUAUUUUAGUGGUUUUAGUUGAUUGGUGAUGUGUAGCAUGAAAAUCAAGCAAGAAAAAUUCAUGUUCUUCCAUCACCCAUCAUUGGCCGAAUUCUCCAUGUGGAAUAUUAAGGAUGAUUUUGAUUUUAUUUCAAGUGAUUCGGUUAGGAAUUAGUGAUUUAUGGUGUGAGAAUCAAGUAGGAAAAAUUAUAGUGUUGAUGCACCCACCAAGGCCGAAUUUUCCAAAAGAAAAUGUGAGGAUGAUUUUGUCAUAUUUCAAGUCAUUUAAUUUGUGUUUGAUGAUUUAGAGAAUUGGAAGAAAAAUGGAAUUAUUUGGAGUUAAAUUGGACAUAUUGGCCAAUUAAUCGAGUGAUAGAUCGAAUUAGGCCAAUAUCGUUUUAUUUAGGUGCACAAUUGAAUUUGUGUAGAACACUGUGUUUAGACGAUAAUCCGAACAAUUUACAUCCCAUUUCAUGCAUUAGUAUAAAGCCUGAAUUGGUUUUAUAACAAUUUAGCACAAAUGUAGUAAAUGGCUUAUUGUGUAUUAUGUCUAGGUGGUGAGCAUUUUGGCAAAAGUAAAGAGAUAGUACCCGAGGAUCAAGAAUCGGAGUACUCAAAAUUCGACUCCCAAAAUAGUGAGUAACCUUACUAUCGUUUUAAUUAUCUAAAGUGGUUUUUAUCUGAUUUUGUGAUUUUAUGAAAAAUGUGUUUAAAUAGUAAAUCUUUAUGUUUUAUAAACAAAAUGUGUUUAAAUGGAAUGAUUUUAUAAAUUGUCUUGAAAUUGAAUGAUGCCUUCGAAAAUAGAGCAAUUGGAGACCAUUUGAUGUAUUGUGAAUUUAUGGUUCUAAUUGAUUGGCUUAUGGCAAUAUUGGCAUGAAUGGCUGAAUUGGUAUUUGUGUUGAAAAUGUAUAAACUGUUGUUUGCCUUGAUAGGCUGGAUAAUGAUAAAAUUGUCAUGUCAUGCUAUUUAAUUUUAUUGAAUUUGUGGGUUAUUGAUUAGUCACUGCAGUGGACAGGUUCCGCGGACUAGCUUAUUAGAGGGGACACGGUAACCUUAUUAUAUUCAUACCUCAGUAUGAGAGGCGAGGUUGGAUAACUCUUGAGGUUCACACUUUAGAGUUCACUUCAUGCCAAACCACCACGUGAGGGUGAACUCAGCCAACGCCAAGGAACGACUAUGUUUUCAAAAUAAAAACAUGAUUUUUGCGUACAUAACUUUUUAUUAGCCUUGGCGGACUCGGUUGGGAUAACCUUCGGCCAAGGUAUCCCUGAUAACUGAGUAUGAGAAUGAUUUUGGCAUGAGCCAAAGUUUUAAGAAAUUCAUAAGCCAUGUUGAUUACUCGAUUUAUAUGAAUUGAUUUUAUUUGGUUGAAAUGAGUUGAAAGGUGAUGAAUUAUAGUAUGUUAAACUAUUUUAUUUGUCUCCAUUUACUCAACUUUAGAUAUUUUAAAUGAUAUUUGUUUACUCACUGGGAUUAUAUAAUCUCACCACCCUCCUUUCCACCCAUUUCAGGCUCAAGAUAGUCGGUAAAUAGCUCACUUUGUUGAAGGCUACAGUUGGACUUACAUCCUAAAAAAUUGUAGGUUUAUUGCUUUUAAUACUUUUGGUCGUUCGUGGGCCCAUAUGUCAUUGUAAAUUAAAUUUUAUACUUUGGUUAUCUGUAUUACAGUAUGUAUGAAUUUAUUUAACUUUUACGCUACAAAAAUUAUUUAUCGGGAACUCUAUAAAUAUUGUUUUAUAAGAAAAUAAAAUAUUUUAUUGAAUAUUUUUAUUAUAUUCAAAUAGUUAUAGUUUCACUUUAAAUGAAUGUUUUAGACAUCUAAACUUAUUUUUUAUUAUGAAAUAUGUGUUUUAUACUCGCAUACUACAUUUUUAGCUAGUUUUGAAAUUUUAAGAGAAAAAUGACCAAAAUGCCCCUGUGAGAAAAAAAUUAUUUAUCUAUUGUUUUGAUUUGAAAAUAGUUUAUAGUCUCUCAAAACAUGAUACUUAAUAACUGUUGCUCAUAGGGGAGGUGCGAAAACUGAUAUUAAAGUCUUACGGGGUUUCGGUUGGUAUUUUAGGUAAUGAAUGUCUAUCAGAACAACGUGGCGAUUGUCACGGGCUCGAGGAGAGUACCGGGUCAUGACAAUAUAUCCUUGUAUUACAAUGUCAUUAAUCACAUCUAACUUGCUAAAUGUCAUUUUCAUUAAAUUACAAUCCAACAUGCGUAUAUGCUUUAUAAUCUCAUUGAUCCUUCAAAGAUUCAUCUUUAUUUGAUCAUUGCAUAUUAUGUAAUACCACAAUUCCCAAAAAUCACCCCUAUUUCUUGAUUAUCUUUCAUACCCUUAACAUAUAUAUAUAUAUAUAUUAUAUCCUUAUUGCAUUUUGAUUUUAAUAUGUCACUUAAGACUUAGAUUCAUUCGAAUUUGCAUGCCUCAAGCAUUUCCAAAUUCCAAUUUCCAUAAUAUAUUAGGAGUUUUUCAUUAUCCGACUUCAUUAUCAAGGUUACCUUUAGUCGUCUUUUGUACCAUUCUUUCAUACUAAUAUAACACCAUUCUCCUUUAGCCAAUUUACAAUUUGUACUUAAUAUUGCAAGACUUCAAACAAGGUUCUUCUCAAAUACUUCUCAAUGUCAAUACGAAUAUCACUUUCAGCUUACAGCUUCCUUUUUGUAACCAUAAAACUUAAUACUUGUUUUCAUAAGAUUCAUAGUAGGAUUCCUCUUGAGUAUUUCCUUAUGGAUACCUACCUUAGACUUAUGUUUCACCGCAUAUGAUCGCUUAACCCAUGGUUUAGCCGUUAGGCUCCUUAGCAAGUUUCAAAAUCCCACAUAUUAUACUUGCCGCGUAUGUUUAGUAAUUUCUUCUUCUCCCCCACUUAGACUGACCAUACACUCCUCCUUCUUGACUAAUUUCGACAUCAAAUAAAAUAUUAAUAUUUUAAUAUUAUUUUAUUAAUAAAAUAUUAAUUUAUUCUAAGAUUUUCCAUUUAUCUCCUUAGAACCCGAAAUGUCUUAUUAUGCCUCGAUUCACUUCCGAAUCACUUUUUAUCUCACUAAGUUAUCUUCAAUAAAAAUAUUUUUAUUUAAUUAUUAUUUCCUCGCGUACAAAAUAUUUUAUUUUAAAAUAUUUCUUUCACCCGCCAUCACUCUUUGACACUUAAAUCCACGUCAAUUAGCCCUUCAUCUUGUAGGUAAUGCCUUAUUGACUUCUAUACAAGGGUAUGGGGUAUCAUAGUUUUCUUUAAAUCUUUUGAACUUUUCAUUUUUCCAAAUUCAUCUAAUCCUUCAAAGAUUCAUUCCCCACUUUUGUUUCAUUCUCUUUUGCUUUUCAAGAUCCGAAUUGCCCAUUUAAAAUCCUUAAUUUCCAUCCACUAUAAGCAGGGUAAUUUUGCUCAUUUUUAAAUCAUUCCAAAACCUAGAAACUUAGUUCUAUAGUGAAUAGUUGAUUCUCCAAGUUUCAUAUUCGAUCUACGCUUUUCAUAGUCGAUUAUUCUCUUCUUCUAAUUGAUUUUCACUUCAAAAUUCCAUCAAGAAUUCCUCGUGGUGCCACCCAAAUGUUACAAAAUGAUUGCUCAAAGGGUUUAAAUAAGAUAUUUUGCUUUAAAGUUUCAAGAUGAAAAAUUUUUUGAUGUUGAUGCUUAUAAUCACUGUAAGAAUCUCAUUUCUUUAAGGACUAUCUACCAUGGUCGGGUAGUUGAUCUUGAAUUUCUUGAAAAGUUUGAUUUUCCCUAUAUUGAGAACUUGAAGAAUUUGUGUUGUUAUGAUUAUCUAAGUCUAAAUAUCCUUGUGUUUGAGAAAUCAAUUAAAGUCUUUUGAAGUAGACAACCCCUACUCACCUUUCUUGGCGGGAUAUUACUUUCCCAAUUUAAACUCUUUUCAUUCUUAAUCAAUCAAUAUCACUCGCCGUUAAACCAUUACCCUUCUUGACUUACACGCACGACAACAAUCCUUUACUUGUCAAUUUUCAGCAGCAAUUAAAUUGAAAAUACUUAGCAACUUUAUAAUUUAUUAUAUCCCACACUUGCUGUCCACACUUAGCUUUAUGCUUUUAUAGCCUAUUCUUUAUUCCCCAUUCUCAUUCAAGUACUGUAACACCCGUACCCUCGUAUAGGAGUCAAUAAGACCUUAUCAACAAGAUGAAGGGUCAAUUGAUGUAAAUUUAAGUGCCAAAGAGCAGUGACAGAUGAAAGGAAUAUUUUGAAAUAAUUAAAUAAUAAUUUUUUUAUCGAGGAUGAAUUAACAAGUUAAAAGGUGAUUUGAAAGUGAACCGGGAUAAAGUGAGACACUUUGGGGCCCUAGGAGACAAGUGGAGAACUUUAGAAUAGAAGAACAUUUUAGUAAUAAAAUAAUAUUAAAUUAUUAAUAUUUUACCUAUUGUUGAAAUUAGUCAUGAAGGAGACUAUAUAGCUAAUCUAAGUGGGGGAGUAAAAGUAAGAAAGAAUUUCAAAGAAAAACGACAUAGGUGGGGCCCGCGUGUCUUUAUUAAUAAAGCAAGAACGAGUAAGUAUAUAUUUAAAAAUUAUGGUGACACCUUGGUGGAGUGUAAAUUUGAUAUUUUAUUUGUACAAGUGUAAAGGAAGAAAAAUAGAAGGAAAAUGGGAAUUAAAGGAAUGAUGGGAGGACCCAAUUGUAAAGGAUAAAAAGUUUUGAGUGUCAAAUGGUAAAUAAGGAAAAUUUUGAGGACUUUUGUGCAUUAUCAACAUUUGAAGUUAAAUGCGAAUUAACUAACCAAUAAAAAAUUAGAUUAUGUGGGAGGAUGGAAUAUGCAUGUAACAAAUACUAUUACAUGCAAAGAUAUGCAUGCAGGGAUGUACUUGUAGUGGGGAACAUGUGGCACCCCCACCAUGUGACAAACAAGAAAGGCAUAAGACAAAAUGAAUAAGAUAGUACAUGCAUGAUGGACACUUGGUGACAAUUAGACUAAAAGAAGAGAAAAUAUAGUUGCAUGUAAUGUCAUUGGCCAAAAGGGAGGCCAAAUGGAAAUUAAGGUGGGAAAGUUGCAUGAAAGACCAUUGGGCAUAAAUAAAGUUGAAUUAAGUGGAAAUAAAUUGAAGAAUGGAUAUGGAUAGUAAAGGAGGAUUUUUAACCAAUGUGGAUGAAAGGCGAUCGGUGCAUGAAAACCUAUUAGUUGGCAAAAUGGCCAGAUGAAAAUAAAAGGUGAAUUGGUGCAUGUGCUAUGAUUGGUUCAAGGGGGUGUCCAAAUAAAGAAGAAUAAAGAGGAAAUGGAUGGCUAAACAGUGAUACAUGUCUAAGGAAGGAUAACACCUAUUCUUGUACAAGUUUUUUUUGAAACCGUGGAGAAAGAAAAGAUUUCUUGCCAUUUCUUCCAACUCACCCAUUCUUCAAACCUUAGAAUCUCAAAAGCACACAUGCACACAUGUUUUAAAAAGUGAAUGAAGGACAUUUGAAGAGAUGUCAUGUGGGUUUCAAGGCAUUCUAGAGAAAGAAAAGAGAGCAAAGUGCUAAAGGCUCAAGUUGUGAGGAUCCAAGGAAAUCGUGGGUUCUUUGCUCUUCAUUGUUGAGUUUAGCAUCUUAUCACCGAGAAAGGGAUCUUCAACAUGCAAAAGGGGAACAAAUUUGUUGAGCUUGAAGAGAGAUAAAAGCUUGGUUUCAAGAGACAAGAGAAACAAGGUAAGGAUUGUGCUUUUAGCUUGAAUAUUCUUUGAAAAUGGGUCAGUAACAAUGAGAAAUGUUUUGUGGCAGCUUGUUGAUAAAACCUUUGGAAGAAUAUUGAUGUUGCAUGCAAGAUCCAAGCCCUCACAAAGGUAAGGCAUGCAAUGUGAAAUGAUUGUGUGAUUCCUUUAGUAGGUUAGGAAACAAUUGUGUUAGUUGAAAGCUUGAAAAAGAACUUGUGGACAUAUGUUGUUUUGAAAUAUUUAAGAAGGUUAAGGAUGUUGGUGCAACAUGAAUGGAAAACUUGAUAUUGUGCUUAGUGGCAGCAUGUUUAAUGUGAAUAAUGGUGCAUAUAAGCUUAGAAAUUACUUGAUGAAAUCGGAUUUAUAGUUGCUACCAUAUAUGUGAUUAAUAGUAUGAAAAUAAUAGUUUGAACAUGACAAAUGUUAUUAGAAGAUUGAAAUGGGCAUUUGAAGUCAUAAACAAAUUGUCGGGUUUAUGUAAUUCAAAGUUUACACUAAGGAUUAAGUGUAAACGGUUAUCUCUUAUGAAUAAGAGAUGAAAGUAUAGAAUUAAAUGCGAACAACAAAUGUAGAAUAUAUUGGCAGCAAAGCUUAUUAAAUGUAUUGAAUUGAAAUGAUGUCAGGAAGUUGACAAAGCAAGGAUUAUUGCUGCAAGCAUAAAGUAAGCAUUUAAGGAAAUGUUAGUGGCGAAGUAAUAUCUUGCCAUUUUAAGGGGAGUAGGGGGUGUCAAUUUUAAAUGAUUCUUACUAUAUCAAAGUUUGUAUAUAGUAUUAUCCAAAGGCUUUGUGGAAAGCAUGAGUUGCUAGAAAAUGAUAAGUGAUUUGAAUACAUGGUUUGCAAUGAUUUGUACACUACUUUUGUGGAAAGCAUGAGUUGGUAGAAACCAUAGGCAAUUGUGGACGAAAAUUGAUUUGGAAGUUGUUUGUGCAGACUAUAUAUAUAUACACAUAUAUGUAAAGUGUUUUAGAAAUUGGGAAACAAGCCUUUUUGUAAUGUCUUGCAUCAAAACCGUGCCUUGAAUCUUUGUGAAGUGUCCAUAGAUGAUUGCACUUGAUAAAUGGCUUAAAUUUGAUUUCUUGUGAGCCAGUUUUUGUUCAAACUUUAUUAAAAGUUUACACCAUGCAUUUUAAUGUGAAAAGCAAUUUUGAAAGGUUACCGAACCUUGUUUUCAAUGGAUUUAAGGAAAAACUCUUGAAAACCUUGAUUUGGUUUUGAAAACGGUUUCGACAAAUCGAGAGCUUCAUGUCACAGCCUAGUUUUCGAGCCAUGACUGAUGCCUAGGGCCAAUGGGCACAGCUAGUUAAGCCCAAGCAAGCCUCUUUAAGAAUUCCUGUUUAUCAUUUCAUUACGUUACCAUUCCUAAGCCACGAAUUUCAAUUAUCAACUAUGCAUAUUUCAGAAAUAUACAUGGUGACCAAGUAUUUAUAUUUUUAUGGGCCCAAAAUACAAUCAUUCAUUGCCAUCUAAUUGAUGGGUUUGGCUAUGGAUGGCAUGCUCAAAAUACGCAGCGGAAAGAAAACUAAAACUUUAUAACUAAACGACAAAAAACAUGCCUCCACCCAUUGAUUACCUUGGUGAUAUUUAACACAUAAAAGGACAAAAUAAAUUAUUAUUUAGAAAGUUACCUUGCCAAGUAACUUUGUAAUCACAAGGGCACUUUCCGAAGUAAUCUCACGAACACCACAAGGAGCAAAAAACCCUAGCCAAUCAAGUGCUUGGCCUCAAUGGUAGUACACACGAUUGCACUUGAACCUGCAACAAAGGAGGAAGUUUUUAACUAUACUUUGUGCUAACAAAGAGGACAACAAUUGUCCUUUUCUUCUUUUUCACAAUCUUAGCCGAACCUCUCUUGAAAUUGCUUAAUAAGCAAUUUUCUCUUUCACACAAAGGGAGUGGUGGCAAUGAAAGAAAACAUUUUUCAUUUUCUAAUAAAAACUACGUUUUCUUCAAUUGUUAAAAACUCUCAUAUGGAAAAUAAUUAAAAGGUGACUUAUAUAGUUAGGUUAAAAUAACUUCAAUUUUGUAAUUAAGACCUCAACAUUAUAACAAAUUAUAAUAUUGGGCCCAUUACUUAAUUCAACUCUUUUAAUUAAGUCCUAGGAAAUUAAAAUCAAAAUGAAUUUCAUUUAUAUUUUGCAAUCAAGGCCUUAUACUUAUAACUAUUUAUAAUUAUGCCAAAAACUUAUUUAAACUCCUUUAAUUAAGUUUAUAGAAGUUAAUUAACUAGCAUGUGAUUUAAGUCUAACUUAAAUCGUCACUCUCCCAAUUUAAUUCAAAUGUAAUCAUUGUGUGUGACCUAUUACGUUCCUAACAUGUUGGCAAUGGAAUUGCUUAAUGACUUAAUUGAUCUAUAUAAAUUUCAAUCAAUUAAUUUAUAAUCAAUUCCAUAGACCAAGAUUGGCAUCUAGCAAUGCAUCAUGGCCACCCAAUUGUUGGGAGAGUCAAAGGGUUCUUUGACAACCUUUCAGUGUACAGUCUAUCAUUGUAAUUCAUUCCCUCAUUAUAUAUCCCGGAGAUGAUAAGAGCUUGGUACAGUGUCUACUCUUAUUGACCUCUAAAUUUGUUCCUGCAAUUAUAGCACUAGCUUUAUAGAGAGUUAUGAAACCUUUUUCAUAAUCUCCAUUUCGACUUGGCCAAAGACUUCAAUAAGCUAAUGUUAACCAAGAAUUGAUAGGAUAUGUCUUCUAAAACACUUGAGGUGAUGAUUCUUAUCUUGACCACUCAUUUGCCUUCACAUGCUUCAUACUAUACCCAAAAACAUCUUAUUUUGGCAUCCUUGGUUACGCACCUUUAGGGAUGAAAUCAAAGCAUAGCACUCCCAACAUAAGACAACCUGGUGUCUCAAGUUUAAGGAAUAUUUACACACUAACACAUGAGAAGUGUUGCAUAGACACUAGAGUCUAUUACCAAAUGCACUUCUCAUGGCCGGUCAUGUUCAGUGAACUUGCUCUCCUAGGCAAGUACCUAUAUUCUAGUUUCAAGUAUCUUUAUACUUCAAUCUAGGAGAUCGAUUGCUUACUUCCAAAGUAAGGAACAUAGAAUAUUCCAAUCUCUAAGCAUCAUUGAUGUCCAAUCUCAAUGAUACAUUGAUGAGGAAUAUUUUGAGAUUAUGCUUUGAUGCAUAGGAAUCUCAUAACUGUAACCCAUUAUAGUUUCCUUGGAAGGCAUAUUAAUCUCAUGGACUUCAUCCAAUUAGACUUAUAACUCAUUAUAAUUAAUAUCUUAUUGAUGAAGGAAAACCUCUAAUCAUUCAACAUGAAUGAUACUGUUGCAUGAUUGGAAUCAAGCCUCAACCAAACCUAAUUGGUUGCAGAGCUCAUCCCAACACUAAUAAUGGCAUCAUUAAUCCAAAUAUACAUUUAUUGUUUGUAACCUAAAUCUUAACGAUUUACAUCGAGUAUAUAUGUACACAUACAAAACACUCCUGACGACUAGCAGAGUGACCUUGGGUGAGGCUACGGCUACUGAAUGCCAACAUACCUACCGAAAGGGGACUACACGCGAACGCCUCAAUCUAGGUUCCAACUGCCUUUGAGUCUGAAAACAUGAAGUUUAAAAAAGUGAGUAUAAACCCAAUGAGUGAGCAUAGGAAGGGAACAAGCAUUGAUACAGGAAGUUUUAGAAAACAUAGUGCACUUAUGUUGAAAACGAUGUAAUUUAGCUCAAUUUCUUGUUAAAACCCCUUAAUUCAACUCUUGAUCAUUUAGUGCGUUAGUAUUGAAGAAUCCAUGAUCAAUAAAGAAGUUAAAGAGUGAAAGUACAGUAGAGUUCAAGCAAGGCAAGCAUAGCAAGUUAAAAAGUUAAAGAGCGAGGAUGCCUUUUCGUUGUAGUGAACUUUAGGGCAAAAAUUAUCCCAACAACCUGAGAGUUUCUAGCUACAGGGAAAAUGCAUUUUCGCUACAGCAAAAAUUGGGACAGCAUUUUACCCAACCACCCGAUAGUUUCUCGCUGCAACAAGAAUGCAUUUUCGCUGCAGUGAAAACUCGAGCCAUGAAAUUCCCCGCACCUGAGAGUUUCUCGCUACAGCUAGAAUGAAUUUAGUUGUAGAGAGAAAUAGGGCAAUUAAGUUAGAAAAAUUCUUGUCACGAUGAAAAUCCAUUUAUGCUGCAAUGAAAAACAAUUGAAAAACAUUUGUCAAAUUUUAACAUUCAAUAAUCAAUGCAAUCACAAUAUAUAUUCUCCAUAACCUCUCUAUAUAUAACAUAUAUAAACAUACAUACGACCAUCGGCGUCACCCCAACUCCUCCUCAACUCAUGUGCACUCCCACACCGCACACAAUUGGGUCAUCAUCAGCUCAAGUGCACUCUUACACCACACAUGGCUGGGUCAUCAUCAGCUCAUGUGCACUCCCACACCGUACAAAGUUGGGUCAUCAUCGGCCAUGUGCACUCCUACACUGCACAUAGCUAGGUCAUCAUUAUCACACCACAGUAACAUUUAAUGCAUAACAUACUUAUCGACAUAAUGUGGGAACACAUUAACUAAUCGCAUUGCUCAUCUCAUAUUAUAAGAACAUUUCAUCAAGGGCUUGUUCCCCAAGUAUAAUUUUAAGUAGAAAAAAAAACAAAUAAGAUUUUUCAAAUAACUAAUUCAAACACAUAUACAUUUUCUUAAAACAAUUUAGAUGCAGGUUCACUCACAAUGUUUUUGUUGAUGCUUUGAUCGACUUUAACUGCGUCUAAUGCUCCAGAUGGAGAUGGGAGGCCUCGUUGGAACCUUGGUAGAUUUGUAAUUAAAUUCCUUCUUAAAAUUUCUCAAGCUAUUAUAGAAAGUCUCUCCUUCUCUUUCUAAAACACCUAGCUAGUGAGAGAAAGUAUUAAGGUAAGACUUUUGAGGGUUUUAAGAUGAAACAGUAAAAGAGCACAAAAGACUUUGUGCAAAGGUGCACAAAAGCAAGAAAAUUAGGGUUUAACUUGAGAAAGUCAUGGAGGUUUUUAAGGAGGCUUCCACGGAAGAUAAAGAACGUGAAAUGGAGAGAAAAGAUGGGAAGAAGAAGAAUAAGCUGCUGGAAAUUUUUUAUAUUUAUCUUAUAGUUGACUAAAGUUCCUUUUAUUUACAAAAAUGCCAUUCAAUAAUUGACUUUGCCUUCUUCCACUUAGUUCAAACUUUUUACUCUUUUGACAGUCAAAAAAAGUCCAUAAUAGAUUAAACGUACUCGGGUUCAUGAAAACUUAAGAUUUUAGACCCGAGACCUAAAAUAACCAUUUUGCCCCUACCAUGGAAAUUAUCGUUAUUUCUAUUUUCUUUACUUAUUUUGUCAAGCCCUACUCUAUUAUAUACUUGUCAUGUCAUUCAUGUGCUUGAUAGAAUGUUUGCAUAAGUGAAUGUAUCGAAAAAUCGUUAAAAGUCGGUAUUGUACAUAGUGGUAAAAUUAAGUUGAUUAAAGCCUCGAACUGGGUCAAACAAAUAUUUUACAAUGUAUUUGAAAGUUAUUGAAUCUUAAAAUGUCUUAAUAUGAUGAUUUGAAAUUCGAGGAUUGAUUUGGAGUUAAUUUAGGAAUUUUCAUAACGUAGGGGCAAAAUGGUCAUUUUGUCACCCAAGGGUAAAAUUGGAAUGUUGGAUGAUAUUUUGACUAAAUUUGAUUAAUUAGAGCAUCAUUUGAAUUUGAGAAGUGAAAAUUUUCAAUUUCGACAUUUUUCCAAACAUAGGGGCAAAAUAGUCAUUUUAAGUGUCCAUGAGGACAAAAUUGGAAAUUUUUGAAUUUUACACCACUAUGACACUUGUCAAACCCAUGAAUUUCAUCCAUUAUUUCUUUAAGUGAGAGAUUAUAUGUGGUGGGAAUGAAAUGCUUAAUUGUUAAGUUUUUAAACAUGCACCAAUGAAAAGGUAACAAGUGUCAAGCUUUAAUGUUAUUUUAAUUGCCUAUAUAAACUCACUUAAAACCCUCACAUUCACACUCUUAUGGCCGGCCACGCAAGGGAACAAAGAGAAAAAGAGAAGAAUAAACCUGAGGAAGAAAAAAAUUCAAGAGAAAUUGUUGGAUUUCAAGGAAUCAAGCAAGUAAAGGUAAGAUUUUUUAAUUUUAGCUUGUGAUCUACCUCUUCUAUGCAUUCUUUUUCAUUCUCCAUGGCUGAAAUUCAAGUUUUCAAGAGGGAACCUUUGCUGGCUAAAUCUAGAGAGAGAAGUUUUGAUGAUGAAUUUUGCUAGAUUUCAUAAUAUCCUAGUGUUUUUAGUCAUUUUGUGAUAUUUGGAAGGAAAAACAAGCAAGAAAAUCACAUGUUCUUCAACCACCCUUGUUUGGCCGAAUUUUCUAUAAGACAUGUUGAUGAUGGAUUUGGUUGUACAUCAUGUUAUUUAGCUAGGAAUUGAUGAUUUAUGGUAUCGAAUAUCGAAAUCAAAAUGAAUUUCGGUUACGGUGAAUUAAGUCACAAUUAAGCUCAUUGAGGUACUUUGGUGUGUAUUUGGAAUAUUGGAAGUGUAAUGAAGAUAUUUGGAGUUGAAUUGGAUGUUUUGGCUAAUUAAAUAAGGCAUAGUGCGAGUUAGGUAGAAUGCCAAUUCAUUCCGAUCAUAAUUGAAUCCACGUAGAACACCAUCUUUAAGUGAUUAUUCGAACAAUUCUCAUUCAAUGUCAUGCAUUCUUAUAGAGCUUAAAAUAGUUUUAUAACAGUUUGGCACAAAUAUAUUGAAUUACGCGUCGUGUAUUAUGUAUAUGUGGUAAACCCUCUAAUAAGGGUAAAGAUAUUAUGCCCAGGGACCAAGAAUAGAAGUACGCUAAACUCCUGCUAUUGUGAGUAAUCAUAUGUUUAUCUUAAUUAUCUAAAGUGGUUUAUACUUGUUUUAAGAUUUUAAAAAAUAUGGCACUUAAUUUGCAAAUUAUUAUGUUUUACAUUUUAAAUGUUGGUUAAAUGAAUGAGAUUUAUAAAUUAUUCUGAAACUAAAUGUUGAUUUUCGAAAAAGAGUAAGUGAAGGCUAUACAUUCGUAUUACGUCACGACCCGAUACUCUCCUCGAGCCCGUGACAACCAUCGCGAUGUUCCGAUAGACAUUCAUUAUCCGGAAUGCCAAUCGAAACCCCGCAAGGCUUUAAUAUCAGUUUUCUCACCUCCCCUGCAAGCAACAGUUGAUAGUAUCAUAUUUUAAAAGAUUAUAAGCUAUUUGCAAACCAAACAACAAAGAAAAUAAUUUUCGUCUCACAAAGGUAUUUUGGUCAUUUUUCCUCGAAAAUUUCAAAACCAUCUAAAAAUGUAGUAUAUGAGUGAAAGAUACAUAUUUCAUAACCAAAAUAAGUUUAGAUGUGUAAAACAUUCAUUUAAAGUGAAAUGAUAGCUAUUAGAAUAAAAUAAAAAAAUUGAAUAAAAUAUUCCAUUUUCUUCUAAAACAAUUUUUAUAGAGAUAUCCGUAAAUAAAUUUUAUAGCGUAAAAGCAAAAUAAAUUCGUACAUACAGUAACACAGAUAACUAGAGUAUGUAAUUUAAUUUACAAUGAUGUAUGGACCCCCGAAUGACCAAAAGUAACGAAGGUUGUGAACCUACGAUUUUUGAGGAUGCAAAUCCAACUGUAGCCCUUGACAAAAUCAACUAUCUACUGACUAUCCUGAGCCUGGAAUGAGUGGAAAGGAGGGUGGUGAGUUUGUAUAAACUCAGUGAGUAAACAAACACCAUCUAAAAUAUCUAAAGUCGAGUAAAUGGAGACGAUUAAAAUAGAUCAUCAUAAGUUGGUUCAUAACAUCAAAACACAUUUCAAAUAAUCUAAACUAGUUACAUUUCAUCCAAAAUAUACAACAAGGCUUAUGAAUCUCUUAAAAACUUGGCUCGUGCCAAAACUCAUUCUUGAGGAUACUUGGAUCAGAGGAAUCCAACCGUGAUCGCCAAGGCUAUUUAAAAAGUCAUAUACGCACAAAACACAUUUUUACGUUUAAAAGCACAGUCAUUCCUUGGCGUUGGUUGAAUUCACUCUCACGUGGUGGUUCGGGGUGAAGUGAACUCUAAACUUGACCUCAAGAGUUACCCUCCGUGCCUUUCGUACCAAGGUAAAAUAAAAUGUAAUGGGAUUUACCAUGCCCCUCUAAUAGACUGGUCCACAAAAACUCGCCCACUGCAGUAAACUAAUCGAUAUCCCACCAAAUUAAUAAAAUUUCAACAGCAUGACGUGGCAAUUAUUUUACAACACAGCAUGUCAAGGCAAAACAAUAGUUCAUAUACGUUUAGCAUAAUUACCAAUCUAGCCACUCAUGCCCACAUUAUCAUAAGCCAUUCAAUUCAAACCAUGAUUUAUAACACAGCAAGUAGUCUCCAAUUACUCCAUUUUCAAAACCAUCAUCCAAUUUCAAGACAAUUUUUAUAAAAUCAUUUCAUUUAAUCACAUUUUGCUUAUAAAACAUAAAUAUUUACCAUUUAAACUCAUUUUCCAUAAAAUCACAAAAACGAAUUAAAAUCCACUUCAGAUAAUCAAGAUGAUGAUAUGGUUACUCACUGUAAUGGGAAUCGAAUUCGGGAUACUCUUAUUCUUGAUCCUCGGAUACUACCUCUUUACUCUUGCCAGAAUGCUCACCACCUAGACAUAAUGCACAAUAAGCAAUUUGCUACAUUUGUGCUAAACCAUUGUAAAACCAAUUCAGGCUCUAUACUAAUGCAUGAAAUAAGAUGUGAAAUACUCGGGUAACUAUCUAAAUAUGGUGUUCAAUAUAAAUUCAAUUAUGUACCUAAAUAAAAUAGUAUUGGCCUAAUUCGAUCUAUCACUGGAUUAAUUGGCCAAUACGUCCAAUUCAUCUCUAAACAAUUCCAUUUCUCUCCCAAUACUCCAAAUCAUUAAACACAAUUUAAAUAACUUGAAAUGUGGCAAAAUCAUCCUCACAUUUUCUCUUGAAAAUUUCGGCCAUGGUGAGUGCACUAAUAAUAUAAUUUUUCAUGCUUGAUUCUCACACUAUAACUCAUUCAUUCCUAAUCAAAUCACUUGCAAUUCAAUCAAAUUCAUCAUCAAUAUUCCACAUGGAAUAUUCAGCCAAUGAAGGUGAUGUACGAACAUGAAUUUUUCUUGCUUGAUUUUCAUACUACACAUCACCAAACAACUAAAAACACUAGAAUAACAUAGUUUCUAACUAAAUUCAUCAUCGAAUUCUCUCUCCUAAGGUUUGAUCAGCACACUAUCCUUCAUGAUAUCUUGUGAUUCAACCAUGGAAAAUGCCAAAUAAUGCAUAAGAAAGGUAAAUCACAAGCUAGAAUUAAGAAAUUUUACCUUUAAUGGCUUUAUUCCUUGAAAUUUGAUGAAUUUCUUAGCUAGGGUUUCGUUCUUCUUCUUUUCUUCCCUUUUCUUCCUUUGACCAACCAAGAGAAAUGAGUUGGGAAGGUUAUGGGCUGAUUUUUAAAGCCAAAUAAUAAAUGGAUGAAAUUUUACACAUGUCACCAUUCCAUUGGCCCAUGUGUCAUACUUACCCAUUAAGCAAUCUCUCUCCACCAUUUAAAAUUCCUCAAUUAUCCAUAAUAAUAAUGGGUGAAAUUCAUGUGCUAGACAAGUGUUGGGUGGUGAAAAAUUCCAAUUUUGCCCUUGGGCGGCAAAAUGACUAUUUUGCUCCUUAUGCCCUAAAAAAUGUCAGAAUUAAAAUUUUUCACCUCUCAAACUCAAAUUAUGUUCUAAAUGGUCAAUCUUGGUCAAAAAUGUCUUCCAACAUUCCAAGUUUAACCUCAGGUGGCAAAAUGACCAUUUUGCCCCUACGUUAUGAAAAUUCCAAUUUGACUCCAAAUCAUUCCUCGAACUCCGAAUCACCAUUUUAAGUCAUUAUGGUGUUUUAAAAUUGUCAAUUUCAUCUUAAAAUCUCUAUUUGGACUAGUUUGAGGCUUAAUUCAACUUAAUUGUACCAUUUGGUACAUUGUUGUCCUUUAACAAUUUUCGAGGUACCCAAGUAAGCAAACAUGCAUUCUUAUGUAGAAAUGGCGUAAUAAACAUCUUAUGGAGCCGGGCUUGACAAAAGGUUAAUGGCUUCAAUUAUUCCCACAUACUUCAUGUUUACCUAUAAUUUAGGAAAUUUCAAUCUUCUUAAUCCUAUUAGUCCAUCUCAUAUGGCUUAAUCGUACUAUAGAGUACAUUUUCUUUAAUUAUUUCCCCAAAACUCCUUAAGUCGCCAUAAGUCAACUUCUCACAGGAUUCUUGAUUGUUACAUUAUCUAUGCAACUAAUCAAAUAUAUUGAGUUCAAGUCUCGAACCACUAAGAACCAUUCUUCACUUUAGUUGGGUACAUUACUAACUCCACACAUACAUAUGCACACGCACAUUCAGACGUCCAUAUUCCUCAUUAAGUAUAAGGGUCCUUAUUCUCAAGUGCCUUCAAACUAAUUUCCCUUUGUUCAUUCCCAUCCAUAACCAAGAUUCAAUAGAAUAAUCUUCAUAAUUCAUGUCAAAAUUUUCAUAUUUAACUUACAAACAUUGGGUAUAGUCCAUUCCAGAUUGCUCUCUUUAUGUCUAUACUUAGCUUCACGUCAUAUACACAUUUUUACUCUUUUCUUAUCAAUCCCAAUUAUAUACUUAAGCUUCCUUGUACUAUAUAUCAUUGCAUCACAAUGUCAUUUUCAUUGAAUUGCAAUCUAAUAUGCAUGUAUGCUUUAUAAUGUCAUUGAUGCUUCAAAGAUUUUUCCUUGACUUGAUCAUUGCAGUUAUGCAAUACCAUAAUUCCUAAAAGUCAUCCUUAUUCCUCAAUUAUCUUUCAUGCCUCUUACAUAUAUUGUAUCCUUAUUGCAUUCCGAUAUUGAUUUGUCACUUAAGACUCAGACUUAUUUGAAUCAUGUAUGCCUCAAGCAUUUUUCGAAUUCCAAUUCCCAUAAUAUAUUAGGAAAUUUUCAUUAUCAAGGUCAACUUCAAUCAUCUUUUUUUCUAUUUUUCCAUACUAAUGUGACAUCAUUCUUCUUGGACCAAUCUGCAGUUUGUACUUGGAAUUGCAAGACUUAAAACAAAGUUCUUCUUAAGUACUUUUCAAUGUCAAUACGAAUUUCACUUCCAGCUUAUAGCUUCCUCUUUACAGCCACAUAACUUAAUACUUACUGUCACAAAAUCCAUAGUAAAACUCCUCUUAAGUAUUUCCUUGGGGAUACCUAUCUUAAACUUAUGUCUCACAGCAUGUGAUCACGUAACCUGUGACUUAGUCGUUAGGCUUCUCAACCAGUUUUAAAAAUCUCACAUUUCAUACUUGUCGUACAUGAUUAGAAAUUUCUUCUCAAAGAUGUUUGUGCAUUCCUAAAACAUUUAAUCUUUUAUUUACUCCUUAAUAUCUCGAGUAUGUCGUUCUAUAGACAUGCAUUUAUUCUUAUAGGUAUAUAAAUACGUACUCAUCCACUCAAUCCCCAACUCAUCUUCAUAGGUUUCUAGGGUAUCGCACAAUUGGCCUUGUGUUGUUACUAACCCUUUUCAUUUAACUGAGUCAAGACAAGAAUUGUAAAUUCUCAUAACAAUAUUCUAUAUAAAUUCGUUUUUUGUAUCGCCCUUGUAAUCCUUCAUUCACACUUCCAUCACUUGGUAUCUUAUCUCAAUGUAGCCAUCUCAAGAAUCUUUUAAUUUCUCUUUUAAUUAUAUGCCCAUAUACAAGGAGAUAAAGAAACUUUUCAAUUCAUUCAGGUUAACAUUCCUUAGAACAUUUAAAACUCCCAAAUAACAAAACUCAAUGACCAAUGACCGAAACUCAACUUGUAAGCUCAUUAUCAUGUCACUCCCAUCUUGCUCAUGCAUCAUCGACAUGAGAUAUUCGUAGCAUUACAGCGCUGGACAGUCAGUGCAGUAGCACUGUCAUUACUAGAAAUUCCCUCAUCAAAGCUAUUUGUCUGCAUUCAAGGUCACUAAAUCAAUCAUCCUCAAUCAUUAGGUUUCCCUUCUAGGCAUAUAUCAUGAAUUCCAUAAGCAUAGGUACCUUCUAUUUGCUAGUCAUACACACUAAGCCAAGUUAAUACUUUCAACUCAUGUCAUAUUUUGACUUUCAUCAUCAUUCAUGAAAUCCUACCUUAAAACAUCCUUUCCAUAUGGUGUAAUAAAUUCAAGAUACAUAUACCACCCCACACAUAAUUUGUUCACCGUCCACAACAUUCCUCAAAUUUAUUAUCGUCCAUAUCUAAUUAUCUUCCUUGUCAUGUAGUCCAAUAAUUUAUUGACUUUCAGUAUAAUAACUACGAAAACAGUUUGUCUUUCUCCACACUUUACACUUGCAAUCCUUAAUCAUCAAGAAUUUAUCUUUCUCAAGUUCCAUCAUUUACCUCCAAUGGACCAUAUUUGUGUCAGAUUAUCAUUUCAUAAUAUUAUGGCAUCAUUUUAUAAUUCCCUCCAUACUUAAAGUUAUGAUCCUUAACUUAAUCACAUUAAUCACUCAAAGUGUCGUCUAGAGCCUCAUUGAUCCCUUCCAUAUCUUUUCGAAUUGUAACUACAAUUAAGAUUCCCAAUUUCACAUCUCCAUGAUUGAUUGUUAGUCUUACCACACUGUCUCCUAAUAUCCUGUGCAAUUACAACACACUAAACCCGCUUAUUAUACAUAGUCCCUAGUUCAAUGUGUUUGCUCGGGAAUCAUCUUCUCUGAUACAAUUUGUCCCAUAAACCAGAAUUUUAUUUAGCUUUGCAUUCGGAAUCAUAUAAAAAACUCACAUACUACGAUAAGUAAUAAUUUUCAACAAACAUCAUCAACUCAAAUUGCCUUUUCUACCUCAUCAAAAUCUAUGGUUAUCACCCAAAAAGUUCAUCACGUUAAUCAGUAUCCAUUUCUUAGUACUGUAAAAUAUAUUCAUUAUUAAUUAGGGUAAUUGCUUGAAUCAUUAAUGACUUUCCACAUUAGUCUUCAAUAAUUAUCUAAGAUGAUCAACCUUGCCACUAAGAUAAAUAUCUUUCCUUAAUAGCCAUAAUGCUAAUCCACUUCUGUCUUACUGAAAGAUUCCGAUAUACAUCCAGUCACUUAAACAGCUACUUUAUAAUACAUUCUAGUCAUACACUUUAAAAGACAAACUAUUAACUUCUUUGUACAGAUAACUAUUAUCUCCUUUACAUUUCAUCUACCUAGAGUUAAAGUAGUACAAAAUCCCAUGAAAAUAUUACAUGUCAUUAAGAUCAUCAUCUUAAUCUGAACUUAUCGGAAGAUUCUACUCCAAGUCCUGUUUAAGAUCUUCUUCCGAGUCCUCCUUCUCCUCCCAAGAUUUUCUCCUUUGUUCCUCAAUCCAAGCCUGUUGUAUUCUCUUACAUUCCUCAUAACUCACAGGUGUAGCAUUUCUUCCACAAUCGAGAGGAAAAUGUCGUACAACAGUACCUUCCUAGGGCAGUGAUUUACAACAGUUACUUUCUCCUUAUUCUUUUCUUGUUGUUCCCUUACAUUACUCCCACAACUUGGAGGAAAGUGUCGAACAACGAAUACAGAUACCUUCCUAGGAUGAUAAUCCCCUUCGGCUAUCAUUAUUUUUCCCCUUUCUUUAGCGUAAUUCUUAGACUAUUUCAAAAGGGAAUUUCUCAUGCUUACAUUAAUGUCAUUACUAUCAGCAUCUUCAAUGGUCUUACAAAGGUCGAAGCUUUCUUUUUCACAAACCCUCAUCUCCAAAUCCGGUGGAAUCCAAUUAAUAGAAAUCCUAGGUGAGGCAUUUUCUAAACUACUUGGUUUGGGUUGCCAUCUGCUCCUAGUAGUAGAAUCUAGCGAUCCCUCGCUAAUACUAUGAGAGGCAUCGAGAGUACCGACUCUCUUAGACAUGGUGUGUGCAACUAGCGCACCGUAAAAUCUAUACGCAAUCAAACAGUAAAUUCUUUAUUAUUUACGCAUCACAAGAAUGGGUAGGUUUUUAUAUGCAAAUGCAUCCAUUCGACUCAACCUAACUUAACUUAACUUGGGGCCACACUGGCACUGUAAUUUUUAAAAUAACUUUAAAGCCAAAACCUCUGAUACCAACUGAAUUGUCACGACCCGAUACUUUCAUCGAGCCCGUGAUAACUGUCGCGAUGUUCCGAUAAACAUUCAUUACCCGGAAUGCCAAUGAAAACCCUGGAAGGCUUCAUAUGAGUUUUCUCACCUCCCUUGCGAGCAACAGUUGAUAAUAUCAUAUUUUAAAAGAUUAUAAGCUAUUUCCAAACCAAAACAAUAAAGAAAAUAAUUUUCGUCUCACAAAGGUAUUUUGGUCAUUUUUCCUCAAAAAUUUCAAAACCAUCUAAAAAUGUAGUAUAUGAGUCAAAGAUACAUAUUUUAUAACCAAAAAUAAGUUUAGAUGUGUAAAACAUUCAUUUAAAGUGAAAUGAUAGCUAUUAGAAUAAAAUAAAAAUAUUGAAUAAAAUAUGCCACUUUUUUAUAAAAUAAUUUUUAUAGAGAUAUCCGUAAAUAAUUUUUGUAGCGCAAAAGCAAAAUAAAUUCGUACAUAUAGUAACACAGACAACCAGAGUAUGUAAUUUAAUUUACAAUGACGUGUGGACCCUCGAAUGACCAAAAGUAACAAAGGUUGUGAACCUACGGUUUUUGAGGAUGCAAAUCUAACUAUAGCCCUCGACGAAAUCAGCUAUCUACUGACUAUCUUGAGCUUGGAAUGAGUGGAAAGGAGGGUGGUGAGUUUAUAUAAACUCAAUGAGUAAACAAACACCAUCUAAAACAUCUGAAGUCGAGUAAACGAAAACGAUUAAAAUAAAUCAUCAUAAGAUGGUUCAUAACAUCAAAACACAUUUCAAAUCAUCUAAACCAGUUACAUUUCAUCCAAAAUAUACAACAAGGCUUAUGAAUCUCUUAAAAACUUGGCUCAUGCUAAAACUCAUUCUCGGGGAUACUUGGAUCAGAGGCAUCCAACCAGACCACCAAGGCUGUUUAAAAAGUCAUAUAUGCACAAAACAGUUUUUUAAGUUUAAAAGCACAGUCGUUCCUUGGCGUUGGCUGAAUUCACUCUCACGUGGUGGUUCGGCAUGAAGUGAACUAAAAACUUUACCUCAAAAGUUACCCUUCGCGCCUCUCGUACCAAGGUAAAAUAAAAAUGUAACGGGGUUUACCGUGCCCCUUUAAUAGGCUGGUCCACAGAAAACCACCCACUACAGUAAGCUAAUCGAUAUCCCACCAAAUCAAUAAAAUUCCAACAGCAUGACAUGGCAAUUAUUUUACAACACAGCAUGUCAAGGCAAAACAACAGUUCAUAUAUGUUUAGCAGAAUUACCAAUCCAGCCACUCAUGCCCACAUUAUCAUAAGCCAUUCAAUUCAAACCAUGAUUUAUAACACAGUAAGUAGUCUCCAAUUACUCCAUUUUCAAAACCAUCAUCCAAUUUUAAGACAAUUUUAUAAAAUCAUUUUAUUUAAUCACAUUUUGCUUAUAAAACAUAAAGAUUUACCAUUUAAACUCAUUUUUCUAUCAAAUCACAAAAAUGAAUAAAAACUACUUUAGAUAAUUAUGAAGAUAAUAAGGUUACUCACAAUGUCGAGAGUUCGAAAUACUCUUAUUCUUGGUCCUCUACCACAAUGUCUUUACCCUUGUUAGACGACUCACCACCUAUACACAAUAUAUGACAAAUAAUUCAAUAUAUUAUGUCAUAUCAUUGUGAAUCUAUUUCAAGUUCUAUAUGAAUGCAUGAGGUUGUUUGGAUAGUCACUUAAAAAUGGAAUUCACGUUGGUUCAAAGGUGAUCGGAAUGGGUCAGUUUUCAACCUAAUUCGAACUCUUCACCUUUGAUUUAACCAAAACAUCCAAAUUGACUCAAAAUAAAUUCAUUUCACUUCCAAUAUUCCAAAUCAUCAAACAUAAGCUAGAUAACAUGAAUUAUAGCAAAAUCAUCCUCAACAUUUUCCCAUGGAAAAUUCGGCCAUGAUGGGUGCAUAAACACUAUGGUUUUUCACACUUGAUUUUUACACCAUAAAUCAUUAAUUCCUAACCAAAUAACUUGAAAUAAAAUCAAAUCCACCAUCAACAUACCAUAACGAAGAUUCGGCCAAUGAGGGUGAUGUAAGAACAUGAAUUUUUCUUGUUUGCUUUUUAUGCUAGACAUCACCAACCAACUAAAAACACUAGAAUAACAUGAAAUCUAGCUAAAUCCAAGAUCAAAACUCCUCCCCCCAUGUCUGACCAGCAAAGGUAUCCUUAUGCAAACUUGAUUCUCAACCAUGAAAAAUGCAAAAGAAUGCAUAGGAAAGGUAGAUCACAAGCUAAAAUCAAGAAAUUUUACCUUGCUUAAUUCCUUGAAAUCCACUAAUUUUCUCUUGAAUUUUCUAACUAGGGUUUUGUUCUUUCUUUCUUUCCCUUUUUCCUUGGUGAGGCCAAACAUGAAGAAUGAAUAAGAGAAGUGUGUGUUGGUUUUUAAUGUAAAUUAUAAAGAAAUGAAAACUUGCCACUUGCGACCAUUCCAUUGGUCCAUUUUUAAACUUAAUAAUUAAGUAUUCUCCCACCACCACAUAAAAUAUCUCAAUUAUCCAAAGUAUAAUAGGUAAAAUUCAAGGGCUUGACAAGUGUUGGGUGGUGUAAAAUUCCAAUUUUGCCCUUGGGUGGCAAAAUGACCAUUUUGCCUCUACGUCAUGAAAAUUCUAAUUUGACUCCAAAUCAAUCCUUGAACUCCGAAUCACCAUAUUAAGUCAUUCUGCGGUUUUAAAAUUCUAAAUUUCAUCUUAAAAUCUCUAUUGGGACUAGUUGGAGGCUUAAUUCAGUUUAGUUGUACCACUAGGUUCACUACCGACUUUUAACGAUUUUUCGGGCUUUCCAAGUAUGCAAACAUAUUAUCAAGCACAUGAAUGACAUGGCAAAUAUUUUAUAGAGUUGGGCUUGACAUAUUAUAUAUAUAUACAUGAUUUGAAUUGAUGGCUUAUGAAACUGUGGUAGCAUGAAUGGCUGAAAUUGUGGUUCUGUGAAUUAUAUCAAUUGUUUUGUCUUACAUUAACAGGUUGGAUAAUACUAUAUUAGCCAUGUUAUGCUACCGAAAUUCUAUUGAUUUGGUUGGUUAUGUAUUUAGCUUAUGCAGUGGGUGAGUUUCCGUGGACCAGCUUAUUAGAAGGGGCACGGUAAACCCUGUUAUAUUUACCUUAAUACGAGAGGCGUGGAGGGUAUCUCCUAACGUAAGUUUAGAGUUCACUUCACGUCGAACCACCACGUGAGGAUGAAACUCAGCCAAUGCCAAGGAAUGGCUAUAUUUUAAAAGUAAAAACAUGUUUUAUGGGUAUAUGUCGUUUUAACAUCCUUGACAGACUCGGUUGGAUGGUUGGGCCAAGGUGUCACCGAGUAUGAGUUGUGGCACAAGCCAAGUUUUUAAGAGAAUCAUAAGCCUUGUUGAUUAUUUUGAUGAAAUGUAAUUGUGUUAUAGGAAUUGAAAUGAGUUUUGAAUGUUAUGAACUAUAUUAUCAUGGGAUGAUUUAACUGUCUCCAUUUACUCGGCUUUAGAUGUUAUAGAUGAAUUUUGCUUACUCACUGGGUUUGUAAAAUCUCACCCCUUCUUUUUAUCCAUUUCAAGCUCAGGACAGUCUGUAGACAGUCGAUUUUGUCAAGGGUUGCUUUUAGAUUUAUAUCCUUAGAAAUCGAAGGUCUACAAUCUUCUAUAUUUACAGUUAUUUUGGGGCCCACAUGUCAUUGUCGAAUAUUUUGUAUACCUAGCUGCGUGUGCCACUGUAUGUAUGAAUUUAUUUUUCUUUUAUACUACAAAAAUUAUUUACGCUGAGUUCUAUAAAUAUUGUUUUAUAAGAAAAUAGAAUAUUUUAUUUAGUUUGAUUAGCCAAAAUUUCAUUUUAAAUGGAUGAUUUAGAUUACUAAAAUUAUUUUUAGAUAAGAAAUGUAUAUUUUUGGAUCAUAUAUUUUCACCAUGUUUCAAAUUUUUUGGGUAAAAAUAACCAAAAUACCCUUGUGUGGCAGAAAUUACUCUUCUUUGUUUUUUAUUUAAAAAUAGUUUAUAUUCCUUUCAAACAUGAUAUUUAGUAACUGUUGCUCACAGGGGAGACGUAAAAUUGAUGCAAGAGCCUUGUGAGGUUUUGGUUGACAUUUCGAGUAAUGAAUGUCUAUCGAGACAUCGCGGCGGUUGUCAUGGGCUCGAUGGGAGUACUGGGUCGUGACAUAUUUCAUUAUUGUAUGCAUCACUCAUUUAUUCCUUACGCCUACUUAGGCCUUAAUAAUAUCAAAAAACCCAUUUCUAAGAGCUCACCAAGGAAAAUGAUAAAAUUACCCCUAGUCUGUGUUAUCGCAUCUAUUCCUAGUUAUGUGUCGAUAGAGGUCAAGGUUUCACACUUCGAGAGUAGGCUAAAUGUCACAUUGGUGUGGUGUGACCCUUGAGCACAAGUUAGCUUUAGCUAGAGAACCUUUGGGUUGCUGACGGGCUGUUAAACAUGGCUAGGCCACGGUCUGUGAUUAUACAUGGCAAGGCCACAGGUUGUUAUACGUGGCAAGGCCAUAAGUUGAUAUACGCGGUUGCAACCACAUGAUAUCUCUGAUGUCGGCCAACAUCAUCGAGACUACCAUGGCUGUGUGAAUCUAGUCGAGGGGGACCUCUAGCUAGAAAAAAAGAACAAGAACCCUAGGGUGAAAAUUCAAGAGAAAAUUGGUGGAUUUCAAGUAAUUAGGCAAUCAAAGGUAAAAUUUCUUGAUUUUGACUUGUGAUCUACCUUCCCCAUGUAUUAUUUUCCAUUUUUCAUGGUUGAAUCACAUGAUUUCAUGAUGGGCAUCUUGCUGGCUGAACACUUAGAGAGAGGUUUUGAUGCUUGAUUUGGUUAGAUUUCAAUGUAUUUUAGUGUUUUUAGUUAAUUGGUGAUGUGUAGCAUGAAAAUCAAGCAAGAAAAAUUCAUGUUCUUCCAUCACCCAUCAUUGGCCGAAUUCUCCAUGUGGAAUAUUGAGGAUGAUUUUGAUUUUAUUUCAAGUGAUUUGGUUAGGAAUUAGAGAUUUAUGGUGUGAGAAUCAAGUAAGAAAAAUCAUAGUAUUGAUGCACCCACCAUGGCCGAAUUUUCCAAGAGAAAAUGUAAGGAUGAUUUUUGCCAUAUUAUUUGAAGUAUUGGGAGAAAAAUGGAAUUAUUUGGAGUUGAAUUGGACAUAUUGGCCAAUUAAUCGAGUGAUAGAUCGAAUUAGGCCAAAACUGUUUUAUUUAGGUGCACAAUUGAAUUUGUGUGGAACACUGUGUUUAGACGAUAAUUCAAACAAUUUACAUCUCAUUUUAUGCAUUAGUAUAAAGCCUAAAUUGGUUUUAUAACAAUUUAGCACAAAUGUAGUAAAUGGUUUAUUGUGCAUUAUGUCUAGGUGGUGAGCAUUUUGACAAAAGUAAAGAGAUAGUACCCGAGGAUCAAGAAUCGGAGUACUCGAAAUUCGACUCUCGAAAUAGUGAGUAACCUUACUAUCAUCUUAAUUGUCUAAAGUGGUUUUUAUCUGAUUUUGUGAUUUUAUGGAAAAUGAGUUUAAAUGGUAAAUCUUUAUGUUUUAUAAACAAAAUGUGUUUAAAUAAAAUGAUUUUAUAAAUUGUCUUGAAAUUGAAUGAUGGCUUUGAAAAUAAAGUAAUUGGAGACCAUUUGAUGUAUUGUGAAUUUAUGGUUCUAAUUGAUUAGCUUUCGAUAAUAUUGGCAUGAAUUGUUGAAUUGGUAAAUGUGCUGAAAAAGUAUGAACUGUUGAUUUACCUUGAGAGGCUGUAAAAUAAAAUAAUUGCCAUGUCAUGCUAUCGCAAAUUUUAUUGUAUGGUUGGUUUAGCUUGCUAUAGUGGGCGGGUUCUGUGGACCAGCCUUUUUAGGGGUACGGAAUCUUGUUAUAUCUUACCUCAGUUGGAGAGGUGUGUAAGGUAACUCCCAAGGUACAACUUUAGAGUUCACUUCACGCCAAACCACCACGUGAGGGUGAACUUAGCCAACGCCAAGGAACGACUAUGUUUUCAAAAUAAAAACAUGAUUUAUGCGUACAUAACUUUUUAAUAGCCUUGGCAGGCUCGGUUGGGAUAGCCCUCGGCCAAGGUAUCCCUGAUAACUGAAUAUGAGAAUGAUUUUGGCACGAGCCAAAGUUAUAAGAAAUUGAUAAGCCAUGUUGAUUACUCGAUUUAUAUGAAUUGAUUUUAUUUGGUUGAAAUGAGUUGAAAGGUGAUGAAUUACAGUAUGAUAAUCUAUUUUAAUCUGUCUCCAUUCACUCAGCUUUAGAUAUUUUAGAUGGUAUUUGUUUACUCACUAGGAUUAUAUAAUCUCAUCACCCUCCUUUCCACCCAUUUCAGGCUCAGGAUAGUCGGUAGAUAGCUCACUUUGUUGAAGGCUACAGUUGGA